rnacentral:misc_RNA from 1 species
UACUAUUAGGAUUAGGAAUCCCAACAAUAAAAUGCUAAACCAAUUAUAAUUAAGAAUCCUAGACAUACAUAAACUAGGAAAAUAAUAAUAAACCUAAUGGAAUUCUAUGAAUAAUAAAUUUUAAACCUAAAUAUGUAAACUUUCUUAGUUUACAAUGAAUAUAAUUCCUAAGUAUCCUAAGUUGAAUCAAAUUUCAAUACUGCAUCACUACAUCAUGUCAAGCAGGAGCUGUGCUAUUUUGGAGAUUUUCUUUGAUUCCAUGUUGCAGCCUGAUAAUUUUAGUGUUAAUAGUCUCUAUUGGUCAGACUAUGAAAAGUUGGUUUGAAUUCACAUUAGGCAUGUAUGAAUAGCCAGUUUUUGUUGGUAGUGCAAACUGGCAACAAAAUGCACUUGCAUAGCCAGCUUCAGAUCCUUGAGUAGUAGUAUUUGCAUAUGCUUUUUUAUCUCAAUAUCAUUUUCAGAACCCUUCCUUCUCUCCCCAGUGCAGGCUUGACUCAUAUCAAAGCUUCAUAGUAUGCUAAAACACUUCUCAUCUGAACAUAAAAAAAUUAUUGAUCUGGCAGGUAUAUCAAUGGAGGGUGAUGAUGAGCUCCUGGCAGAAAUUGAAGUUAAAGUGGCCCCAAAAAGAGAUGAAUGGAUG